GCUGAUGCGGGAAACCAAUCAGCCCUUAUCCCAUCGGCCAGGCUCCACGGGAUCCCGCGGAGGCGGCUGCCCUCCCGGCUCCUUGCGGCGGCGCGACUCGCACCCUGCCCCUGCUCCCGGUGGCGCCGGUACCCGCACUCGGACGCUCCCGACGGCGGCACACGCUCGCAGCGGCGGCGGCGGUGCGAGCGCGCACGCGGCAACGGCAGCACUCACGCCGCGGCGUCCACCUUGCUUCCGGCGCUGCACGCGGAAGGACCGCUCCUGACGCCGACCUCCGCUCCCGGUGCUGCCGCCGUGAGUUCGACCCAAAAUCUCAAGGGUAGAUGGCCAUCGAGCGGUGCAGGAUCUGGUGGCCGCGCCAGGAGCUGCAGCUCGACCAGGGGCCAGUUCCGGUGAGGCUCAUCCUGUUCGGAUGGUUCUUCACAAGUGGCGCUUCCCUCGACAUCGUCAUAUCCGCGGCUGUCCCCCAGGAUCAGAUCCUGCGGUCUUUUGCCACGCUCGACACUCUCCAGACCAUCAUCCUUUCUUCAAAUAAAAGGAUGCCUGCAAGCCUGCAAGAAUCUGCUAUAUUUACCAUUCUUGGGGAUUGCGGUCGGCAUCUCCCUGGAGAAGUAGAAGAAUGCUGCUGUACUAAACAACUGCCCUUGGACGCACAAUCGGUUCAGAGAGAACAUUCUGGCACAAGCAGAAACAAUGUUAUGAUCAGAUCAGUUGGGAAUGGGGAUCAGCAUCCAAGUUAUGAUAAUAGAAAAUGGGAAUGCGAUUGUUGUGUGUUAGAUGGUUUUCUGGAUGCUUGCAGAAAGUCCACAGUCAAAGAGGGUAGCUGGGUGCACUUCUUUUGCAAGUCUGGAAAGAGCGAUAGGAGCAAUCUAAAUCAAGUUCCAGUUCUUUGCCAUCUGUAUAUGGAUGGCCAACUGAUUGAAAUCAAUCAUUGCCACGUAUGUUAUACUAUAUGAGGUUCCAACCUUUGGGAGAAACCAUUUUUCACUGGGUGCGGACGCACCUCGUGAGUUAAAAGCUUCUUUCAAAAAGCCAAUCUGGAUAAAUGAUCUGCAAAAACAACCAUCAUUUCUUGAUUUGGAUUCAAUUCUUUUGGCACUCAAUUGUUCAAAUACAGCUAGACUGCCGGUCACUCAGGAAUGCUCUACCAGCAGCUCUGGGCCUUAUUUCACCUUUGCAUUGGUAUAUGAUGCCCUGGUUCAAGUGUCAUGGCACUGCAUGGGAAUAUUAUUGGCUUCAGCAUCAACUAUUCUCUAUAUCAUGAUUAUAAUGUUCCGAAAAUGUUUAUGCCAUAUGUCCCAGUACUUGAUGCUACAUAAGGUUUUCAAACAUUCAUGGAAUAACAUUCAGCGUCGCAGUUGUCAAAUUCUUUACUGGCCAAUUGUCCUCCUAGAUACCUCCCUAAGCUCCACUGUGAACAUGGAGUAUGCACACAAAGCUGCAAUUCGGAAGCAUGCUUUGUGGUCAAGUAUCGCCGUGGAUCUCCUGAUGGGUUUUGUCCUUGGAGCAGUAUUUUUAUUAAAUACGGAGACAAUUUGUAUUUGGACUAUAGCUCUCGUCCACCACAUGACAGACGCAAUCUUACGAUCUGGCUGUGUGUGGCUGAUGGGUGUUCCGGCUGGCUUUAAGCUGAAUACAGAGUUAGCAGAGCUUUUAGGCAUGAUUUCACUGAAUGCAGUUCAAAUUUACUCUACCCUUUGGUUCUUUGUGGGAGCCUACCUGAGGCAUAUAAUUCAAGGAAUUGCAUUUUCUGGAAUUAUUUUGGGCCUGACAGCUCCAGUUUCAUUCUUUAUUGAUAUUAUCCAGCUUGCUACAUUGCAUGUUACUAUGCUUCACUGGUUAAUAUCAUCGAUCUAUUCAAGACAGAUUCAGACAGUUGCAUCCUUGUGGCGUCUUUUCAGGGGGCGCAAAUGGAAUCCUCUUAGGCAGAGAUUAGAUAGCUAUGACUACACAGUUGAACAGCAUGUGGUUGGUUCCUUGCUGUUUACACCAGUCCUACUCCUUAUACCUACAACUUCUGUAUUCUAUGUAUUCUUCUCUAUCUUGACUACAACGGUUAUCUGGGUGUGUGUGAUGCUGGAAAUUGCAAUUGCGGUAAUCCAAUCUACGCCUUAUGCUGAGUUAACUCUAUGGAUGACGAGGAGGCAAAGAUUUCCUGCUGGUAUAUUUUUCCUUCACAUGACAUCAUCAACUGGACGUACCUUUGAAGAUGAUGACCUAUCAGCCCAUCCAAUCAGAGGUUGCAAUGAAAGGAAAACAAAGGAUACUGUAGUUGAACAAUCAGAGUCAUUAGUUUCAGAACUUAAUUGCAACUAUGCCACUCUUGUCCAAGUAAUCAGAUCAAAUUAUGAGAGAGUUUUCAACAGGACGGGGUUCUCCUUCUGCAAACAAUUGGCAUAUGGGAUCCUUAGUGGUGAAAGGGUGCCUUCAUCACUGCAUCUGCAACCGUCUCCUUCAUUUCCCUGGAUGAACAUUGGUAUUACAGAAUACUGGAUGCAUUGCCGUGAUUCUGUACUUUCAUGUGCACCGAAGAGUGAUGGAUUGAAGUUUUGCACUAAUUGCCUGACCCAGUGACAAAUUCCGUUUUUGAUUACCUAACUCAGCAGCAUGACUUAGAUCCUGUACCCAGAUCUGUUGGAACAAAUGACAAAGUUUUGUUGUCCCAUCUUUUAUGUAACACUUGCAUGGUAAAAAUAUUAUAAUGUUUACAGCAAGGCCCAAAAUUUUCAUAUGAGCUUGAAGCUUUCAUACUGGAUCUUUCAUGUCA